CAGUCGCCGCGGUAAUACGAAGGGUGCAAGCGUUACUCGGAAUUACUGGGCGUAAAGCGUGCGUAGGUGGUGGUUUAAGUCCGUUGUGGAAGCCCUGGGCUCAACCUGGGAAUUGCAGUGGAUACUGGGUCACUAGAGUGUGGUAGAGGAUAGUGGAAUUUCCGGUGUAGCAGUGAAAUGCGUAGAGAUCGGAAGGAACAUCUGUGGCGAAGGCGACUAUCUGGGCCAACACUGACACUGAGGCACGAAAGCGUGGGGAGCAAACAGGAUUAGAUACCCCGGUAGUCCCUGUCUCUUAUAC
rnacentral:rRNA from 1 species